rnacentral:rRNA from 1 species
CCAAUAGCGUAUAUUAAAGUUGUUGCAGUUAAAAAGCUCGUAGUUGAAUUUCGGGAUCAAUAUAUCGGUCGUGCCAUAGGUACGUACUGGUAUCAUUGGUUUCUCCUUUCUGACGAACCCUGAUGUCAUUAAUUUGGUGUUAUGGGAAGUUCGGACUGUUACUUUGAAAAAAUUAGAGUGUUUAAAGCAGGCUGUAGCUUGAAUACAUUAGCAUGGAACAAUGAAAUAGGACGUUCGAACCUAUUUUGUUGGUUUCUAGGAUCAACGUAAUGAUUAAUAGGGAUAGUUGGGGGCAUUAGUAUUCAAUUGUCAGAGGUGAAAUUCUUGGAUUUAUUGAAGACUAACUACUGCGAAAGCAUUUGCCAAGGAUGUUUUCAUUAAUCAAGAACGAAAGUUAGGGGAUCGAAGACGAUCAGAUACCGUCGUAGUCUUAACCAUAAACUAUGCCGACUAGGGAUCGGAUGAUGUUAAUUUUUUAAUGACUCAUUCGGCGCCUUACG